UACGUAGGGUGCAAGCGUUGUCCGGAAUUAUUGGGCGUAAAGAGCUCGUAGGCGGCUUGUCGCGUCUGCUGUGAAAACUCGGGGCUUAACCCCGGGCCUGCAGUGGAUACGGGCAGACUAGAGUGCGGUAGGGGAGACUGGAAUUCCUGGUGUAGCGGUGAAAUGCGCAGAUAUCAGGAGGAACACCGGUGGCGAAGGCGGGUCUCUGGGCCGUAACUGACGCUGAGGAGCGAAAGCGUGGGGAGCGAACAGG
rnacentral:rRNA from 1 species